rnacentral:misc_RNA from 1 species
UUUCCGUAGGUGAACCUGCGGAAGGAUUAUUAAUGAGUUGUCAUGGGGUUCGAUGCUGGCAGCCAAUUUUUGGAUGCAUGUGCUUGCCCUAACAAUCAUCUUCCAAACACCUGUGCACAUUUUUGAGGGAGUCUUGAGUUGGUUGCCGCUCUUGGGUGAUUUUCUCACAUUCCCUUAAAUCAUUAUACGCUAUUAACAAUGUUGAACGUGCUCUGUGCCGCAAGGCUAUUAAUAUAAUACAACUUUUAACAACGGAUCUCUUGGCUCUC